UACAGAGGGUGCAAGCGUUAAUCGGAAUUACUGGGCGUAAAGCGUGCGUAGACGGUUAUGUAAGUCAGGUGUGAAAGCCCCGGGUUCAACCUGGGAAUUGCAUUCGAGACUGCGUAGCUAGGGUGCGGAAGAGGGAAGCGGAAUUUCCGGUGUAGCGGUGAAAUGCGUAGAUAUCGGAAGGAACACCAGUGGCGAAGGCGACUUCCUGGCCUGUUCUUGACGCUGAGGCGCGAAAGCUAGGGGAGCAAACGGG
rnacentral:rRNA from 1 species